rnacentral:lncRNA from 1 species
GAUUAAUGAAAAAGUCAUCAAGUAGUCCUUAACUUAGUGGUCAUCAUUAGAACCCAUCAUGUGUUGGUAAAUACUUUACUGUAAGCUUUCGUGGAAAGUAUUUAGUUUUGUAGAACCACAGUUGUGUGCUUAGCAUUUAGAGUCAAAUAGAUAAAUUACCUGCGAUGCGAAAUGUUUAUGUUUUUUUUUUUUAGGGAAAGGGAUGUGAUUCCGUGAGAGUAAACCCAUCUAUUGAUCGAAAGAUCAUACAACGAGCACUCUCGCUCAAACUAAGGGAUCUAAAGAUCACGUAGUACAUCCACUGCUCAACUGACUAAGUUAAUAGACAGGCUACCAUCCAAAAGGAUGAUAAUAACCACAAUCUACGAAGAAAAUAAAGUCCAAAAGGGUCGACAAUCAAACUAAACCCAAAAGACUAUGUCCAAAAAAGCGGACAUCCAAAAACUAAUUUAUUCUUCAUAACCCUAAUUCACAGCAUCCGUCUUGAUUGGCUUGGGGUCUAGAGACCUUCAUGGUGUACCCCUCCACCCGUCAAAACAAUGAACAACGUAGAAUGAGUGACAAAACCCACCCCGAAUUUUACUUUAAAACCCGGAGUAAAUCCUGCAGGAACCACCUCCAAGGAAAAUAUUACCAAAAAUUCGGCAUAAUCUCUUUUGAAAGUGGACAACCCUUCCUAAAGAAAACCUGCAAACACUUCUAAAAUUCUCAAUCCACCCUUAACUUCUGGAGCCUACGUGCUCCCCCAACAACCACCACCAAGAAUAAUAAUAAACUCAACUUCCAACUCAUCACAUAAUUAUCUAAAUAAGAUAACAUACAUCCUCCGCUAAAUAUUCUAAAAUGUAAUCAAUCCUUCGCCCACAACCGAAAUAAUAUUAUACAUCCCCAAGGGAAAAUCAAAGCUACUAGACACUAGAGGAAGCAAGAAAAACACUGGUAGGUUAAAUAGAUAACCUACUGAUGAAAGGUGGAGGAAAUGCGGGUGACUAUGCCUCGUCUCCUACUAGAUCCAACCCGAACUCUGGAGACUGGACAUUUUAAAAAGAAAGGCCCAGGGGAAAAAAUAUUUGAAACCGUUAGAGUGAGUGGACAAAAAUAAAUUUAAAAGAAAAUAAAUCUUUAUGCUUUCCCGAUUUAAUUUCUGUGGAAAAACAAUUAACGGUAUGCAACAAGCUCAAAAGCUUUUAAAAAUUUACCGAAUUUACCAAAACGUGACUAGCCGCGCUAGUCACCAACAUUUCAUAAAAAUAGAGCCUCUCAGGCUAAAAUAAAUUAUGUAUGUUUUACACUCGUCAUAUCCCUUAUAUGAAUUUUCUUGAAACAACAAAGACAAAUAGAAAAUUCACACAAGGCUACGACGCUUGCGUCUAACACUCACGUCGCACCAUAAUGGCAUUUUACCUCAUUAUGGUAGAAAAGACGGUGUAUAAAUAUAUAUACGCGCAUAUACCCUCUAUAAAUUAUUAUAUUUAUAUAGGGCUACGACGAUUGCGUCUAACGCUCACGUUGCACCAUAAUGAAAUUUUACCUCAGUAUGGUGGAAAAGCACGUAUAGCUAGCUAGCAUUUCUUCAUAUACAUAUUAUUCUCAUAAUCAUCCAAAUAUGGAUAUAUAUACAUACUCACCGAAAUUCUCAAUUUCGGUUAUUUUCCAACAACAUAAAUUAUUUCGCAUGCACAUUAUUUAAAACAAAAGUCCACUCACAAAUUAGGCCUAAGCCUGAUGUCGCUCCGAGGCUUCUUCUGCUCUGGCCUCCUCUCGUCCUGAACCAAAUAUACAAUUAAUUUCCCACUAAAAAUCCAAUAACUAAACAAAAUGGGCAAAAUUAAACGUGAGCCUCCCACACACUCAUCAUUGCCCAACUUCGCCAUUCUUAACUCAAAAUGGCUUAAACUUCACCGAACAUACCGGCAGCCCUAAUUCAACCUUCUACAGAUUAAUGACUUAAAUCCUACGGCCGGAUUCUACAUUAUUCAACCGCUAAAAAUACCACACUUCAGAAAAUCACAAACCUAUCCAAAUCUCAUCCGAAAAUUCCAUAAUUCACAUUAAUAAACUCACCUUAAUAUUCCACACUUAAAACUAUACAAAACUCCCAAACAGUGGCGGUGGCGCCGGUGGGUCCGCGGGCAGCGGCGGCCAGAGGCCGAUUCCGGCGACCUCCAAUGCCCACCAAAUUUUAACAGAAUCUUCCUCUCAACUCCCUCUACAACUUCCUUAAUUAGCACAACACCCAAUUCCAAGCCUAACUAGGUCAAUCGAGCAAAAACAACACAGAAAACCCUAGAGCUUCAAUUAAACAUUUCACCCUAACAAGAUCGAAUUAGACCAACUCCUUUUGAGGGAUUGCUCACCUUGAUGAGGGCUACAAGAUGAGCUAAGAAUCACGAGUUAUGGUGACCGGAAAUGGGAGUUCCAACGAAGGACAGUCCAGCGUCUCCGGUGGAAUAACUCCCAAUCGGCGACGUUACCGGCGGGGACACUAGGCCGGGAAGAGAGAGGAGGUGGCGGGGCUCCGAACUGGACUGGAGCGGCGGCCGGUGGCUGGCCAGACGGCGGCAGGCGAUGGCUGGAGGAUCCGACAACGGGAGAGGUCGGGAGAGAGGGAAAACUGGGGAAGAGAGAAGAGAAAAGAGAGAAGGAAAAGAGAAGAGAGAAAUGGCUUUUGGGCCUCUAACCCCCAAACCGGGCCGACAUCCUUAUACACUAAAACCCAACUCUAAAAUUUACACCCCAAAAAUAAAAUACCCUAUUAAAAAUUACCUUUUACUAGCUAAAAUUUAUUAUUUUUACUGUCGUCACAUUUUUCUCCAACGAAUAAUUCUCCGAAAAUAACCGUCCCCCAAACCUCUCUAGGGACCAAUUAAACUAUAAUCUCAAUGACGGAGACGGUAAAAUUCUUAUUAUAAUCAAGCUAGUAAAUAAGGUAAAAAUUUAAGGGUCGGGAUGUGACAAUUCUCCCCUCCUUAUAAAAAUUUCGUCCCCGAAAUUUACAUACCUGUCAUUCGAAGAGAUAGGGAUACUGCUGCAUCAUUUGCUCCUCUGAUUCCCAAGUAGCUUCUUCUACUUGAUGACUUCUCCAAAGCACCUUGACAAGUGGGAUUGUCUUGCUCCUGAGCACUUGCUCCUUUCGGUCGAGAAUCUGAACCGGCUCCUCUUCAUAGAUCAAAUCUUUCGUCAAACUGAUCGGCUGGUCUUGCAGCACAUGAGAGGGAUCGGCAAUAUACUUGCGAAGCAUGGAUACAUGAAACACAUUAUGUAUCCUGGCUAAUUCUUGAGGCAAAGCUAACCGAUAAACAAGUGAGCCAACUCGCUCUAUAAUCUCAUAAGGGCCAAUAUACCUCGGACUAAGCUUCCCACGCUUACUGAAACGUACUACCCAUUUCCAAGGAGAUAAUUUCAAAAACACCCAAUCACCCACUUGAAAUUCAAGAUCUCUCCUACGGACAUCUGCAUAACUCUUUUGCCUACUUUAAGCGGCCUUGAGUCUAUCUUUGAUCACUUUAAUCUUCUCAUUUGUCUCAUGGAUUAACUCUAGGCCACAAAGCUCUUUUUCCCUUACUUCAUUCCAACACAAAGGCGUACGACACUGCCUCCCAUAAAGUGCCUCAUAGGGAGCCAUACCAAUGCUAGAAUGAUAGCUAUUAUUAUAAGUAAAUUCCAUCAAAGAUAGGUUCUUAUCCCAACUCCCUUUGAACUGCAAGGCACAACCCCUUAACAUAUCCUCCAAAGUCUGAAUAGUCCUCUCGAACUGCCCAUCAGUCUGAGGAUGAAAAGCAGUGCUGAAGAGUAAUUGGGUACCUAAAGCUGCCUGAAGAGCUCCCCAUAAUUUAGAAGCAAAUCUAGGAUCCCGAUCCGACACUAUUGAUUCAGGCACACCAUGAAGCCACACAAUUUCAUUCAUAUAAAGCUCCGCCAAUUUAUCCAAUUUAUACUCUUUCCCACUGGCAAGAAAUGUGCAGACUUGGUGAGUCUAUCCACAAUCACCCAAAUACGAUCAUGCCCUUGACGGGUACGAGGUAAACUGAAAACAAAAUUCAUGGUGAUGUGGUCCCACUUCCAUACUGGAAUAGGCAACGGCUCAAGCAAUCCAGAAGGCUUCUGCCUUUCAGCCUUUACUUGCUGACAAAUCAGACAUCUACUCACAUAAGCUGUAAUUUCCCUCUUCAUGUUUGGCCACCAAUAAUAAUCCUUCAAAAUUCGAUACAUUUUUGUGCUACCCGGAUGAGCAGCAUAAGCAAAACUAUGAGCUUCCUCCAUUAUCUCACUCUUCAACUCUUCAUUUCUUUUUGGAACACAAAGCCGAUUCUUAAACAAUAAGGUCUUAUCCCUUCUAACUGAAAAAUGAUCGGCGGCAGCUCUGCUCAAAGCUCUUUCUAUCAACAGAACUAUGGAAUGAUCAUUAUACUGUGCAUCCCGCACUCUAUCAACCAAAACUCGCCUCACAUGAAAACUGGUUACCAACGCACCAACCUCAUCUACUGCUAAAUCCACCCCUGUAGCUCGCAACUCACAAAGAAGUGGAACUCGAACCGUCUUUAUAUGAGAUAAAGAUAUGGAGGGAUUUCGACUAAAAGCAUCAGCUACCACAUUAGCUUUUCUGGGAUGAUACUCAAUAGUGCAAUCAUAAUCAUUGAUUAACUCCAUCCACCUUCUCUGUCUCAUAUUUAGCUCUCUUUGGGUGAAUAUAUACCGAAGACUCUUGUGAUCGGUAAAAAUCUGACACUUGGCUCUAUAAAGAUAGUGUCUCCACAACUUGAGAGCAAAGACUACCGCUGCAAGCUCUAGGUCAUGAGUAGGAUGAUUCCCCUCAUGUGGCUUCAAUUGCCUAGAAGCGUAGGCAAUAACUCGAUCAUGCUGCAUCAAGACUCCACCUAGACCACGUCUAGAAGCAUCACAAUAAACCACAUACUCUCCAUUAUCAUCUGGAAGUGCCAAAACAGGAGCACUUGUCAAGCAAUUCUUCAAUUCUUGAAAACUUUGCUCACAUUGAUCUGACCAUUCAAACUUAACACCCUUCUUGGUCAAUCUUGUAAGAGGAGCAUCAAUCUUUGAAAAAUCUCGCACAAAGCGACGAGAAUAACCUGCUAACCCCAAGAAACUAUGGAUCUCCAUCACAGUGGUGGGUCUUCUCCAAUUUGACACUGCUUCCACCUUUUGGGGAUCCACACUAACACCUUCUGCCGAAAUCAUAUGACCCAAUAACCACACUUUAUCUAGCCAAAACUCACACUUGCUAAACUUAGCAUAUAACUGCGACUUUUCUAAAGUCCGCAAUAUUAUUCUUAGAUGCUUGGCAUGCUCCUUCUCACUUCUUAAGUAAACCAAGAUGUCAUCUAUGAACACGAUCACGAAACGAUUAAGAUAUGGACUAAACACCCUAUUCAUGAGAUCCAUGAAUGCCGCGGGUGCGUUAGUAAGUCCAAAUGGCAUCACCACAAACUCAUAAUGACCAUAUCGUGACCAAAAAGCAGUCUUGGCUAUGUCCCCCUCUCAGAUCCACAACUGAUGAUAACCCGAUCUCAAGUCAAUCUUAGAGAAAACAGAGGCACCCCUCAACUGAUCAAAUAAAUCAUCGAUCCGAAACAACGGAUAUUUAUUCUUCACCAUGACCUGAUUCAACUUCCUAUAAUCAAUGCAUAGUCUCAUGGUGUCAUCUUUCUUAUUAACAAACAACACCGGAGCACCCCAAGUAGACUUCUGCAAUUGAGUCUUCAACUCUUUCAAUUCCGCUAGAGCCAUUCUAUAAGGUGCCUGAGAGAUAGGCAUAGUUCCGGGAAGUAAUUCUAUAAAGAAGUCUAUCUCCCUUGCAGGAGGCAAACCAGGCAACUCCUCAGGAAAAACAUCCGGAAACUCCCUUACUACUGUAAUAUCUUCUAUUCCCACAACUCCUAUACUUGUAUCCGCCACAUGAGCUAAAUACGCCUGACAACCUUUAUUUAAUAAUUUCCUUGCAGCAACAACGGAAAUUAGACAACUCGAAAUAACAUCUCUUUCCCCUUGAAAGGCAACCUCAUAUCCACUUGGACUUCGAAGCACCACUACUUUCUGAAAACAAUCUACCAUAGCUCUAUAUGUUUCCAAAAAGUCCAUUCCCAAGAUCACAUCAAACUCCAUUAUCUCUAAAGGAAUUAAAUCGGCCUUGAAAUUAAAUCCCUCUACUAAAACUUCACAACCAUUAAACACCUAAUUAAUUCUCAUCACCUCACUGAAGGGUAGAGACACAUGCCACUCGCCUGGAAGAGACGAUGAUGGCACAUUGUCAUGGAGGGCAAAUCUACUAGACAUGAAUGAAUGCGUGGCUCCGGGAUCAAUUAAAAUAAAUGCAGGCUGACCAAAAAUUAAUAACGUAUCAAUGAUGACAUCUGGAGAAGUACGACCCUCUUGCUGGGUCAUGGCAUGCAGUCUAGCGUGAGUCAUGGGACGUCCACGCUAACCACUACCCUGCUGAGAGCCACCUCGGGCCGAUGCACUGACCUGAGCACCACUACUGGAGCGUCUACCUGAAGACUGACUAACUGGAUGAGUAGGGGUGCGGGUGGUCCUCUGAGCCAACAAUGGACAAUCUCUUCUGAAGUGGUCCUGACUACCACACUCAAAACACCCAGAAAAUUGCAGCUGCUGCCCAUAAAAAAAGUCUGACCACCAGACGUCCCACCCUGGGAGCUGCCACCAAAACCAAACUGUCUAGUCUGCUGCCUACCCAACUGGCUCCGAGAAGAACUUCUGAAACGUCCCUUAGACUUGCUUCGUACACCAGAGCUAAAUCUACCAUUAUUGCCACUACCUGCUGAAGAUCUAGAAGCGGAUGAAGAAGCAGCCUUCUUGGAUGGACCCUGACUGGGGCCACCGAAAUCUCGUGGCCGAGCACUAUAAAUCCCCAUAGCUCAAUGGCCAUGGCUGCAUGAACAGCAUCAAGAAAGGUCGGGUAAUAAACACCCAUCACCUUGUCUGCGUACACUCCACCAAGUGCCCCAAUGAACAUCUCCAUCCUGGUCCUCUCAUCAGGAAGCAGAUAAGACACAUGGUAGCUCAGGGAAGUGAACCUUUGCUCAAACUCUAUGACACCCUCAUCAUCCCUCUUCUUCAUAUUCAGGAAAUCUGACUGAAUUAUGCUGCGGUGGGCGUGACUGAAAUACUGCCCUAAGAAGAGCGUCUUAAACUGCUCCCAAGACAUAUUCUGAGCAUCCUCAACAUUCCUGCUGGCAAGCGACCACUAGUGAUGUGCUGAAUCAUCCAGAAAAGUCACUGCCAUCUUCACCUUCCUUUCUUUUGGCAAAUCGGAGCUCGCAAAAGCCUUUUCCAUUUUGUCUACCCAAGUAUAAGUAUCAAGGGGUCCCUUGGCACCCUUGAACUCUCUUGCUCCAACCUCAUAACUUCUCUCAUCUUCACUGUAUAAGGGUGUGGAGCUCGAUCUAUAACAUCCCUCAACAUAUUCCCAAGAUCAUCAACUAGUCCCCUGACCUCAUUGCCCUCAUUGGCAUUGGUCGAAGUGGCUACACGGGGUUGGCGUGGGCGCCUAGGAGGCAUAGUAUCUGAGGAAGAAGAUAUUUAGUAGUCCAUAAACAAGACUAACACAACUAUCACACAUACCCAAUAACACAUAGCAUCCAAAGCAUAAAAUGCCAAUGAAUCUGCCGCGGUCGGAUCAUCACUCUAUAGAGACUACAUGCUACCUAGGCAAAUAUGAUAGUGACAAGGAAGCAGGAAAAGGAAACCUAAAGCUCUGAUACCAACUGACAAGACCCACCCAAAAUUUUACCCUAAAACCCGGAGUAAAUCCUGCGGGGACCACCUCCAAGGAAAAUAUUACCGAAAAUUCGGCAUAACCGCCUUUGAAAGUGGACAACCCUUUCCUAAAGAAAACCUGCAAACACUUCUAAAACUUUCAAUCCACCCUUAACUUCUGGAGCCUACGUGCUCCCCUAACAACCACCACCAAGAAUAAUAAUAAAAUCAACUUCCAACUUAUCACAUAAUUAUCUAAAUAAGAUAACAUACAUCCUCCGCUAAAUAUUCUAAAAUGUAAUCAAUCCUUCUGUCAGGACCUACCCCGGAUUUCCUCUUGAAAUCCAGAAUCAACCCUGCGGGACCCACCUCAAGGGAAAUUCUACAAAAAUUUUGGCAUAACCUCCCUUGAAAAUGAGUAACCCUGCCUGAAAGAAAAAUCAUCAAAACCCAUACACUUCUAAAACAAUUUAAUCCACAUCUUCUGGAGCCAUCCGCUCCCCUAAUAAACAUCCACCACCUCAACUCACAUAAAAAAAUCAAAAUAAUUUCAUGAAUUUAAUCUCUCAUACAAACAUACCAAAUGUCUUUUUCAUCACUCCUAAGAGGAGUCAUAAGCUCUUAGCACACACCCACAAUAAAAACAAUCUUAAUAUCACUUAAAACAUCCCAUAGUUAAUCAGAGCAUCUACUAGAAUAGAAGGAAAUACAUAGGUAGGUUAACUAGUAACCUAUGAGAGAAAACUAGAUGAGGUGGGAAAUAUGACUCGCCUCCUACUCUCGCCGAACAUAACUCUGCAGACUGGGUAUUUAAAACGAAAGACCUAGGGGAAAGCAUUUAAAACGUUAGAGUGAGUGGACAAAAUAAAUAAUAAAAAUACGGACUUAAUGAUAGAGCAUUGAAAUCAAUUUAAUGCUUUUCUCAUAUUUUCCAUUGAGAAAAUAUUUAUACAUGCUAUUCUUGGAAAUCUUUCCGAAAAUAAUUAUAGACAAAACUAAUGAACCAAUCUCAUUGGUUCCCAAUAAAUCAAUAAGAAUAGGGAAGAGGUUUCACCAUAACAAUGAGCCUCCCAGGCUAUAAUAGCGUCCCACGCUAAACGCUCUACUCACAUAUGAUGAGGACCGCUUAUAAAGUUAUAAUAGCGUCCCACGCUAAGCGCUCAACUCUCAUAUGAUGAGGACCGCUAAAUAAUGGCUAGCUAACAAUAAAUAUAUAUAUAUAUAUAUACUGAUCGGUUGCCUCCCAGGCUGUAAUAGCGUCCCACGCUAAGCGCUCUACUCACAUAUGAUGAGAAUAGCUAAUAAGACUAUAAUAGCGACUCACAUAUGAUGAGGACCGCUAAUUAGGUUAGCUAGCAAUAAUCUAUAUAUCAACCGUUUUAUGGUGAAGUAUAAUAUUAAACAAAAAGAUCCACACUUCCCCAAAUAAAUUAUAAUAAACUCAUAGCGCACAGUACAGUUCCCAACUGUACAUGGAAAUAAUAUAAAACACUUGACACGUCCCACGUGUCAACUAAAAUUAGCAAGAGUUCCGGAAAAAUAAGUGGAACUCGAUAAUCCAACAAAAUAUUAUAUCUCCAAAUGCCUUUGAAAUUAAAUAACUUUAGCACAUGCAUGAUAUUAAAAUCAAAGGUCCACUCACAGUGCUCGGCUAUGCUUGCCGACGGCCCGAGGCUUCCUCCAAAUGAUCCUCCUCACGUUCUGAACAAUAAAUAAUCAUUAAGCCUCCAAACCAGGACAAAACUUUAAUAAAAUUUCCAAAAUAAAAAGGAAGCCCAUAAUUUCAUUUCUCUUGCCCAACUUCUCCACUUUUUACCUAAUAAGACUCACAUUACUCCGCACUUACCGAAAGCCAUAAUUUAACCUUUUUAGACUUUAAAACCUGCUAAACCAACUGCCGGAUUUCCAUUCGAAUAACCGCCUAAAUCCUUUAUCAUUGAUAAAUCCUAAACCUUAACAAAUCUCCUCCAAAAAUUCCAAACUAUACUUCAUUAAACUUCUCUCAUUAAAACAAACCCAAAAUCAUGAAAAACUGCCCCUAAGGGGCGGCGGCACCGACCGGCAGCCUGAUUCCGGCGAGGGCCAAUGCUUCUCAAAUUUUCACAGAAUAUUCCUCUCAUCAUGCUCAACAACAUUCAUAACUAGCACUUAGUCCAUUUCUAAGGCUAACUAGAGAAAACGAAUCAAAACUUCUAUAAAUCCCUAAAAACUUCAAUUAUACAUUUCUCCAUAACAACAACGAAAUAGACUAAUUCCUUUUGAGGGAAUACUCACCUUGAUGAGAGCUACAAGAUGAGCCAAAGAUUCCGACCUAUGGUGGCCGGAGGUGGGAUUUCCGGCAAAAAGCUUCCCAGCGUCUCUGGCGAGUUUUCUCCUCUUCCGGUGGGCUAACGGCUCGGGGGCUAGGCCGGGGAGGGAGAGGAGGUGGCGGGGGUCUGGGCAGAGGUGGUCCGGCAGUCCCUGGCGGCCGGACAGCAGCGGACGGAGGCUCUUCUCCGGCGGGUCAAGUUGCACGGGUAAGGGAGGGAGAGAAAGUGACUGGUGAGGGAGAGAGGGAGAGAGAGGAAAUGAGGGGGAAGGGUUUUGGGUUGCUCCACAGCCGGCCCAGCUAUAAACCCAACCAAAAAUAAUACCCAUUAAUAAUUACCCCAUUUUUCCAACUCAAAAUUUACUCUUUUAAUAAUAACUUUUUCAUGCUAACUCCGAUUACAUAGCAUGUCUACGAACUCGUAUUAACGUCCUCUACAACUUUCAUAAAGAAUGUUUCCACUAAUUCCAAACGGAAAAGAAAGUCAACUUUAGGGUCCUUAAGUGGUAAACGGUUACUUAACACGGUAAAAGACCAAAAUAAUAUCAAAGUAAAUAACCGUAAAAUAACUUAAGAACCGGGGUGUGACACCUUCACCCACAACCGAAAUAAUAUUAUACAACACUGGUAGGUUAAAUAGAUAACCUACUGAUGAAAGGUGGAGGAAAUGUGGGUGACUAUGCCUCGUCUCCUACUAGAUCUAACCCGAACUCUGCAGACUGGGCAUUUUAAAAAGAAUGGCCCAGGGGAAGACAUUUGAAACCGUUAGAGUGAGUGGACAAAAAUAAAUUUAAAAGAAAAUAAAUCAUUAUGUUUUCCCGAUUUAACUUCUGUGGAAAAACAAUUAACGGCAUGCAACAAGCUCAAAAGUUUUUAAAAAUUUACCGAAACGUGACUAGCCACGGUAGUCACCAACACUUCAUAAAAAUAGAGCCUCUCAGGCUAAAAUAAAAUAUGUAUGUUUUACACUCGUCAUAUCCCUUGUAUGAAUUUUCUUGAAACAACAAAGACAAAUAGAAAAUUCACACAAGGCUACGACGCUUGCGUCUAACGCUCAUGUCGCACCAUAAUGGCAUUUUACCUCAUUAUGGUGGAAAAGACGGUGUAUAAAUAUAUAUACGCGCAUAUCCCCUAUAUAAAUUAUUAUAUUUAUAUAGGGCUACGACGAUUGCGUCUAACGUUCACGUCGCACCAUAAUAAAAUUUUACCUCAGUAUGGUGGAAAAGCACGUAUAGCUAACUAGCAUUUCUUCAUAUACAUAUUAUUCUCAUAAUCAUCCAAAUAUGGAUAUAUAUACAUACUCACCGAAAUUCUCAAUUUCGGUUAUUUUCCAACAACAUAAAUUAUUUCGCAUGCACAUUAUUUAAAACAAAAGUCCACUCACAAAUUAGGCCUAAGCCUGAUGUCGCUCCGAAGCUUCUUCUGCUCGGGCCUCCUCUCGUCCUGAACCAAAUAUACAAUUAAUUUCCCACUAAAAAUUCAAUAAUUAAACAAAAUGGGCAAAAUUAAACGUGAGCCUCCCACACACUCAUCAUUGCCCAACUUAGCCAUUCUUAACUCAAAAUGGCUCAAACUUCACCAAACAUACCGGCAGCCCUAAUUCAACCUUCUAAAGAUUAAUGACUUAAAUCCUACGGCCGGAUUCUACAUUAUUCAACCGUUAAAAAUAUCACACUUUGGAAAAUCACAAACCUAUCCAAAUCUCAUCCGAAAAUUCCAUAAUUCACAUCAAUAAACUCCCCUUAAUAUUCCACACUUAAAACUAUACAAAACUCCCAAACAGUGGCGGCGGCGCCGGAGGGUCCGCUGGCAGCGGCGGCCAGAGGCCGAUUCCGGCGACCUCCAAUGCCCACCAAAUUUUAACAGAAUCUUCCUCUCAAUUCCCUCUACAACUUCCUUAACUAGCACAACACCCAAUUCCAAGCCUAACUAAGUCAAUCGAGCAAAAACAACAGAAACCCUAGAGGUUCAAUUAAACAUUUCACCCUAACAAGAUCGAAUUAGACCAACUCCUUUUGAGGGAUUGCUCACCUUGAUGAGGGCUACAAGAUGAGCUAAGAAUCACGAGUUAUGGUGGCUGGAAAUGGGAGUUCCGACGAAGGAAAAUCCGGCGUCUUCGGUGGAAUAACUCCCGAUCGGCGGCGUUACCGGCAAGGACACUAGGCCGGGAAGAGAGAGGAGGUGGUGGGGCUCCGAACUGGAUUGGAGCGGCGGCCGGUGGAUGGCCGGACGGCGACAGGCGAUGGCUGGAGGAUCCGGCAACGGGAGAGGUUGGGAGAGAGGGAAAACCGGGGAAGGGAGAAGAGAAAAGAGAGAAGGAAAAGAGAAGAGAGAAAUGGUUUUUGGGCCUCUAACCCUCAAACCGGGCCGACAUCCUUAUACACUAAAACCCAACUCUAAAAUUUACACCCCAAAAAUAAAAUACCCUAUUAAAAAUUACUUUUUACUAGCUAAAAUUUACCAUUUUUACCGUCAUCACAUUUUUCUCCUACGAAUAAUUCUCCGAAAAUAACCGUCCCCCAAACCUCUCUAGGGACCAAUUAAACUAUAACCUCAAUGACGGAGACGGUAAAAUUCUUAUUAUAAUGAAGCUAGUAAAUAAGAUAAAAAUUUAAGGGUCGGGAUGUCACAAUGAGGGUUACGUAAAAGCCCGCUCGUAGUGACUUGAACCCGGAACAACAAGCACAAAAGCAAAACGUGAGAGAAGAGGGAAAAUGGUCCGGCCCAAAAGGACCCAACCCACUCCCACAUGCCUUCUCCCAACCCUCAGCCCACUUGGACCCGAGAUCCAGAUCAGACCACCCAAGCUAGCCAUAGCCGUCAUCAGUCGGUCUCUGGCGGACGAACGCCUCCUUCAGCCAUGGGAGAGGCGAACAUGAAACACAGACGCACCCAAAGCAAGUUGUCACCGCCUUUGAGGUGCUGCUAACCUAGUUGCAAACGCCGCCAAGCAAAACAACAAAUCAGUUAGUCAGGAAAGCGCAGAGCUAAGCCGCUCAUCCUCAAACUUCUCCCUAGUAGAUUCGCCUCCCUCCUAGCUUGCAAGGUGCUCCAUCUCCAAAAACCUCGACGGUCACCACUUACCACCAGAUCAUAUUCUUCGUCGUCGUCACACCUAGCCGCACCGCAAACCCUAUCUUGAUCCCAAACAAAUAUAAACAUCUGAUUAUCGCUUGUAUACUACCCCGCGCAGGCUUAGACCAAAGUCGCCACCACCCUCCUGGCUGGACGUGAAGCCAAAAUUUCCUACCGCCGCCUGCUCUCAAAACCCUAAUAAGAUUUCGAUGUUUAUGUUAGCAUAGACUACUCUAAUUAAGCUAUAUAAGUUGUAAUAGAUCAGCUGCUUGUACUAUUUUUUACCCAUAAUUGCAGAAUUAUAUACGUGAGCUUGUUACACUGAGGAAAAAAAAGGAGCAUUCUCAUAUAGAACAAACCAUGUCUUAUGUAUGCAGUAUGCUCACUUAAGAGACAAUAUGUAAGAAACCGUAAAGUACAAUUGAAUAUGUGGGUCGAAAAGAAAUGCGUAUUUUUAAUUUGAGAUGCAUUUGUCUCUUGCGUUCUCUUAAAACUAUUAAAUAGAUGAGAGCAAGCCUUUUUAUAUAGGCUUAAUUGUCAAUUUACUACACUAAGAUUCAUUUAAGUGUCACUUUGCUACCCUAGGUUCAUAUAAUUAGCCAAUUUGCUACAUUUCGUCACAUCAAUUGAUUAAUUGCUCUGUCUAAACAAUGAUGUAUUUUGAAAAUGUAAGGUAACAAAUGGCUAAAUUUGAAAAUGUAGGGAAGCAAAUUAGUUAAUAUGGAAAGCCUA